UUGUUUUCGGUACGGAGACUGUCAUGAUCUGUUCCGAGUUGUUCAACAUAGCAGAGGUAGUCUGGGCCCGUGUCGCGCUCUUCUACGGCUCUUCCAAGUGCGUAUUAAUCGCUUUGAGUACUUGACUCCUAGUAAGUGGUACUCGUUUCAAACAUCAGUCGCUCAUUACGGUUACGUUAGAUUAGAUUAUAGGUUCGUAAACUAAUAAUCGUCAGGGUUUUCCUCCUUUUGUGUAUUAUUAUUGUAUAAUUUCAAAUUUCCGAUCACUAUAACCGAAAACCUGAACAUAAAAAAGCGGCUGGAAAAGCACUGGUAACGGCUGUC